GAUGAACGCUGGCGGCGUGCCUAAUACAUGCAAGUCGAGCGAACAGACGAGGAGCUUGCUCCUCUGACGUUAUCGUCGGACGGGGGAGUAACACGUGGAUAACCUACCUAUAAGACUGGGAUAACUUCGUGAAACCGGAGCUAAUACCGGAUAAUAUAUUUAACCGCAUGGUUCAAUAGUGAAAGACGGUUUUGCUGUCACUUAUAGAUGGAUCCGCGCCGCAUUAGCUAGUUGGUAAGGUAACGGCUUACCAAGGCAACGAUGCGUAGCCGACCUGGAAGGGUGACCGGCCAAACUGGAACUGAGACACGCUCCAGACUCCUACGGGAGGCACCAGUAGGGAACCUUCCGCAAUGGGCGAAAGCCUGACGGAGCACCGCCGCGUGAGUGAUGCAGGUCUUCGGAUCGUAAACCUCUGUUAUUAGGGCAGAACAAAUGUGUAAGUAACUAUGCACGUAUUGACGGUACCUAAUCAGAAAGCCACGGCUAACUACGUG
rnacentral:rRNA from 1 species